UCGGGCGUGGUGUACGGCACACGCUCCCCUCUGCUAAUAUUUCAUGCUGUGAAUGAGUGGGAGGCACCCAGGUUCGAUUCUUGGCGUCCGAA